rnacentral:lncRNA from 1 species
UUUCUUCUAUUUUUCUCUCUAUACGUUAGUGUUCUAACCAAUAAUCACCGAUACGAUGUUAUGUCCGAUCGAUUCAGGAACCAUCUAAUAAAUGCCAAAAUGCUGUACCUUGUGAAUUUCGGUAAACGGAAUCCAACGUACUAUACUUUGUGAAUUUUGUUAAGGUUCGAAUCUCGUGAUUACCGUUAAGGUUUGAUUUGAGUUUUACACAAAUACGUAUUCCAUUCUGUUAAACUAUAUGUUUAACUACCAGAAUACUCCCAACCACACACUUACAAUCAAACAAGCUGUUAAAUCAUCAGAAGAUUCAGAUCAAUAAAGUAUAUGCUUAAUUAUCAGAAGGAGUAGAAUCAAGAAGCUUGUUAAAUCAAUACUGCAUGCUUAUACUGUCAUUACAGUAGAUUGGAGUAAAAGUUGGAUACGGCACUGAAAGGCUUCAAGAAGUGGCUUAUUUUAUUAAAUAAAUCAAAUUAAGAAAUAUUGUUUUAUGUAAUUGGGUUAUCCCUUAUUAAAGCUACCUUUGUAAAACAUGGAUUUAUUCCAUCUAUUUAAUAAAUAAAAUCCGGUGUUUUCUAAACUCUUAUAUUUUUCCUAACUCACGGUCCUGAUGAAAUUUCCGCUGCAAUAUUUUUCAAAAUAAUCACCGGUACCACUUGGCUGUUCACGGCUCCCCGUUCCGUCCAGGGUGGGUCGGGGGUCGUGACAUUAGGUGCGGGUCAACACGGGUUAGGCCAACUUACAAUCUCUUUUAUCAUUUUUUUAAUUUUUGAAUUUUUAUUGUGCAAAAUACAACUCAAAAAUGCUUUGUUACUACAAAAAUAAAUAGGUAUUUUGCUAAUAAAAGCAUUUUAAGAGGUUUAUUAUGAUUUUGAGUACACUUGGGAUGCCUUCCAAUCUGUUCGUCCCAUUUGAACCUUUUUUUAGUAUCACUAGUUUAUCAGUACUUGAUCCAGAGAUUUUCAAACUAAACACCGUUAGCCUCGUUUGGAUGUGAUAAUAGUUUUGUGUGUGAUAUCAAAUGUCUUUAUAAGUCUCGACUUGUAUUCCACGCUUGUAGUAAAUGUUUAAUCCAACCUUGAGCUCGAACUACAUAGUUUCAGCUGGUGUUGUUAAAAGAGUUUAUGAGAAUAUAUUUUGUAACUGUGUUUUUGUUACAUCACAAUGGAGCCUGACAUGAUAUAUAGAGAUGAAUACAUGAACGUAAAAGAAUAUAUACUAAAUGUGAAUAAUCAAAGUUAAAUUGGUAAACAGAGUAGAAGGUAAACAGCUUUGGCUUAACUCCCAAAUUGUAUUAAUCAGAAAAUCAUUAUUCAUAAAAACUAAUUACAAGCAAGUAUUUAUAGGACUCAAUUACUUCUCUCACAAGCAUCCUAAUCCUACUAGAAUUAGCUAUCAUAAAUCAUCUAAUCUACACACUAAACAAUUCCAAACUAAUUCAAACACUUAACUGAUUUAAUUAAUUUAGUUUUCCAGGCACCUAACUCGUGUAGGAAACCUCCCGUGAUCCCCGACUUGUGAAUCAGGGGUAAAACAGUAAUUCGCCAACAAUCACCUCCCGAAUUUCUGUUUCACAUAUGGUAGGUCUUCCACACCAAGUAACGUCCUCGUCUCACGAAACCUGAUCCUCGCUAGCGCUUUAGUCAACGGGUCUGCUCUUUGUUCUUCACCAGACAAUGCAAUUGCUGAUUUGUUGUCUACAUGAAUUAAAACUUUCUGCUUCUCCCACCCUGUCAGUUCUGCAAGUAACUCUCGAAGCCAGAUUGCUUGACACGCAGCUGCAGUAGCAGCCAUAAAUUCUGCUUCGCAUGAAGAAAGUGCCACGGUAACUUGUUUUUUAGAACACCAUGUUAGAGGCAAAGAACCAAGAUAAAAUAUGUGACCAGUAGUGCUUUUGCCAUCAUCUUUAUCAACGUUAUGGCUGAUAUCACUAUAACCCACCAACUUCAAGUUUUCACCUCUCUUGUACUUUAUCCCAGGAGAAGAAGUGCCACGUAAGUACCGUAUGUAACGCCCUGCGUUUCGAAACUUUUAUCUUUUUGGCAAGUCUUGUCAUGAUUCCUACCUUGUGAUGUUUAAUGAGACUAUUUGAAUCUUAAUCAUGUUAAACUGUGU